rnacentral:miRNA from 1 species
UUUUGGUAGAGAACGAAACCCU